UACCGCAUAAGAUUGUAGUAUCGCAUGAUAUAGCAAUUAAAAGGAAGCAAUCCGCUAUAAGAUGGACCCGCGUCGCAUUAGCUAGUUGGUGAGGUAAUGGCUCACCAAGGCGACGAUGCGUAGCCGACCUGAGAGGGUGAUCGGCCACAUUGGGACUGAGACACGGCCCAGACUCCUACGGGAGGCAGCAUG
rnacentral:rRNA from 1 species